AUUGAACGCUGGCGGCAGGCCUAACACAUGCAAGUCGAACGAGUGGCGGACGGGUGAGUAAUGUCUGGGAAACUGCCCGAUGGAGGGGGAUACCUACUGGAAACGGUAGCUAAUACCGCAUACCAUCGGAUGUGCCCAGGUGGGAUUAGCUAGUUGGUGGGGUAACGGCGCACCUAGGCGACGAUCCCUAGCUGGUCUGAGAGGGUGAACGGCCACACUGGAACUGAGACACGGUCCAGACUCCUACGGGAGGCAGCAGUGGGGAAUAUUGCACAAUGGGCGAAAGCCUGAUGCAGCCAUGCCGCGUGUAUGAAGAAGGCCGUCGGGUUGUAAAGUACUUUCAGCGAGGAGGCGUUACUCGCAGAAGAAGCACCGGCUAACUCCGUGCCAGCAGCCGCGGUAAUUC
rnacentral:rRNA from 1 species